CGGCCGGUUACCCUUCUGUUUCCGGCGGCUGCUUGUGGUGCUGGCGGGCUUCAGGGUGCCCUCUGGUGGAGAAGCCGACCUCCCUCGACCGACUGUUUGUUGGGUACUGCUGUAGAUGCCCUAGGGAAGUGCCGCCCUUUUGUCCGCCCUCGAGAAACACUUAAUGACCAGAAGCGAGGUACCACCAUGUCUUAAAAAAACAAGAUGAGCUCCUCAACUCCACAACCAACCUCAAACUCCAAAUCGGAUGAAUCUGAUGGAUUAGUCUCAGAUGCCAAUAGAGUGAUGUCUCAGAUGUCAAUAAACCAUGGACUUUCAGGAAGACAACUUAACCAAGAGCCUGCAGAAGGUAGCUAUGGACCUGUCAACUGCCUUCUCACUUGAAGUUGUGCUCUUUAAUCAAGGAAAAUGCUUAUACGAGCUACCGUCUGGAAUAAGCUUCCUUGUCUUACCUGAGCAGCCUCUUCAGGAUGGGCUCAGGCUAGAACAAAAAGACACACUGCUUCUCUGAGUUGUGGAGAGAUGGCAUACUCAAAGCCAAGUCUGUCUGCCUGCAUGAUCCUGAGAAAGAGGCAGGCAUAAUCAUUUGGACUGAAGGAAAGGAUCACGUCAGUAGAGGGACUUGAGAGUGAAGUCUGGCUUUCCGGUGUAUAGGUAGAUCUCAGCGCAGAAGGCACCUGACUGGGGAAGUCCUCAGGAAAGCCCUGUUCCUUCAGGCUCUCUUGUCCCUGACCUGAAGGAGAGGAGCAGCUUUCAAGAACAGCAAAAGAUCAGCAGUGGAGGGUUAGGGAGGAAGAAUGACCUGUCCAUGAAACCCAGGCACAACUGUUCAUUUUUCUUGUUAGAUUUUUAAAAUUUUAUUGGUACAUUUUAGAUAUACAUAAUAUUCAUUGUAGACAGUUUGCAUCUGUACAUAUCUUGCUUUUUCCCCAUUGUCCUCCCCUCUCUUUAACCCCCUUUCCCCUCAUUUACAAAAGCUUUGUUUGCAUUUUUUCCUUUUAUUUUCUUGUCCUUUCCUUUCCCCCUACACCCUCAUUUCCCUUAUCAUUUGAACAUCUUCUUCACAUUUCCCAAUAUCUGCUAAACAUUUUGGCCCUUACUGGUUUACAACACCAGAAAACCAAUGUGGUAUUUAAACGUGUGUCUCAUUUAUUUCACUUAAGAGUAUGGUUUCAAGGUA